UGUGCUGGCAGAGAGGGCAGCUCAGCUCAGAGAUGCUCAGGCCCAACUCUCCAGGAACAAACUAUUGAUUGAAGAGCUCCGUGGAGAGAACAGGAGGUUUGCAAUGGCUCUGCAGGCUGCUGAGCUGAAGCAGAAGAGCAUGGAGGAGAAGAACCAGCUGUUGGAGGAACAAGCCUCAGCUCUGAAGCAGCUUAUUGGAAAAAUCACACCAGCAUCUCUGAGUGGGUGAUGGGACAUCUGCAGUGGUAGCCCCUGGUCCUGGCUGGGGCUGGUCAGGUGCAGAAUGGGAGGUAUGGCUGGGUUGGGAAAUCAGCCUUGUCCUCUCUGGUCUUGCCAGGAUUUUCCUGUGCAGAAAAUAGCAAAUGGGAAGCCUG